UCACAAGCAUGUAACCAUGGUUACAUAUAUGUAACCUUAGUUAGCCCAUCAUUACCUAAGAUUACCCUUUUGGGUAUCUACACAUUAGUCCUACACUUUUUAUGACAAUACAUUUGCCCCCUUAACAUAAUGUCCAUAAGACCACAAAAUUAGGCCAAAUCAAAAGAUAGCACAUAACAUAUAAUUUAUCCAUAUAUUGUUCAUAUGUAU
rnacentral:lncRNA from 1 species